rnacentral:lncRNA from 1 species
CCGGCAUCUAUCCAUCCAUUGUCCUUCUUUCUUUAAGGUCACUGAAAAAAAAAAAAAAGAAGAAGAAGAAGAAGAAGAAAACACACAAAAAGACCUACCACAAAACCCUGUUAUCUUAUUAAUUUUGCCUCUGCCCCAGUGCCAACGAAUCUCUGGUUUUCCCUGCACAGGUUUUUAUGGAGGAUAUAUACCGUUAAUGGUGACAUUGGUGUCAGUAACAGAACGUGAACAGCAGCGGUGCCUGUGCUCUAUUCCCAGUAACAGUUGAAUCUACACAAAGGAGAGCUGCGCUGACUACCCUCUCCUCAGAAAAAAGCUCCUGCUGGAGGCUGCACCUUUGGAGCCUCCUGUGAACCUGAGUAUGAAGAGCAGAACCUGAGGCAACCCAGUCUCACCGAGUCCAUCACCG